rnacentral:rRNA from 1 species
UACGGGGGGGGCAAGCGUUGUUCGGAAUUACUGGGCGUAAAGGGCUCGUAGGUGGCCAACUAAGUCAGACGUGAAAUCCCUCAGCUUAACUGGGGAACUGCGUCUGAUACUGGAUGGCUUGAGUUUGGGAGAGGGAUGCGGAAUUCCAGGUGUAGCGGUGAAAUGCGUAGAUAUCUGGAGGAACACCGGUGGCGAAGGCGGCAUCCUGGACCAACACUGACGCUGAGGAGCGAAAGCCAGGGGAGCAAACGGG